rnacentral:rRNA from 1 species
GGGGAAUAUUGCACAAUGGGCGCAAGCCUGAUGCAGCGACGCCGCGUGAGGGAUGACGGCCUUCGGGUUGUAAACCUCUUUCGCCAGGGACGAAGCGCAAGUGACGGUACCUGGAGAAGAAGCACCGGCCAACUACGUGCCAGCAGCCGCGGUAAUACGUAGGGUGCGAGCGUUGUCCGGAAUUACUGGGCGUAAAGAGCUCGUAGGCGGUUUGUCACGUCGUCUGUGAAAUCCUGCAACUCAAUUGCAGGCGUGCAGGCGAUACGGGCUGACUUGAGUACUACAGGGGAGACUGGAAUUCCUGGUGUAGCGGUGAAAUGCGCAGAUAUCAGGAGGAACACCGGUGGCGAAGGCGGGUCUCUGGGUAGUAACUGACGCUGAGGAGCGAAAGCGUGGGGAGCGAAC